CGCCUGCACCGUUUUCCCACCGGUGUAGCAAAACUUGCACCCAAACCGUUCUUUUAUUCCGCAGGUAGUACACCGUUUCUGCACUCGAUCGCCAACGGUGCAGUAAAUUCUACACCCUGAUCGAGUUGGGUGUAGCAGGUACUGCACUCUUUUUACCAAUACAUGCAUGAUGCUUAGCUGUCAGUGAUAUUCGUGUUUUGAUCGCUUUGGUAGGUUUUGUUGUUUUCGCUGUCGAGCAGGUGAUAUCGUUUUCAGUUUUCGGUCAUUAUUGAGUGCGUGGAUAAAAUGGAUUUGAUCAGGAAUUUGAUUGAAUCAUCUGAUUCAGAAGGAGACGAGGAAAUGUUCCUUGCAUUUUUUCAAAUAAACGGUACCACAAGAAAUAAAAAAUCGCGCGCUGAAAAUUUUAUGAGUACGAUUGAUCGAUACAAUGAUGAAGAGUUUCGCAACAAUUUCCGAUUAACGAGGAGUACAGCAGAACUUCUUAUUUGUAAAUUUGAAAAUUCUGUUUUUUCAAUGAAGCAGAAGAACGGGGCAGAAGUAGUCUAUGUGCAUAAAAACAAAUGCUAUCUUUUUUAUGGUUCUGUGCAAAUAAAAACUCCUAUAGAGAGAUUUGUAAUUUGUUCGACAUGUCGGAGUCAACAUUUUUUCGACACACGGAAUCUAUCCUAGAUUUAUUCCAUGAAAUAUCUAAGGAAUACAUAAAAAUGCCCAUGACUGAUGCAGAAAAAGCGAACGUCGCGAACGAAUUCGGAAAGCUCGCCGGAUUUAAAAACGUUAUCGGUUGCAUCGAUGGAAGCUAUAUUAAUGUUCGAAAACCAGCAAACAAAAUUCGCUCCACAUAUAUCAAUAGGCAUGAAUUGGUAUCUAUAACACUGCAGGGUAUAUGUGAUGCCGAUAAAAGGUUCCUUGACGUCUUUUUGGGCCCACCUAGCAAAAUUCAUGAUUCGAGAAUUUUUAGCAUGUCCCCGAUAAGCCAAAAAUUGCCAACGAUAUGCCAACAAAGUUAUCAUAGCCUAGGAGACGCAGCUUAUCCUAUUCGUGAGCAUCUAUUAACUCCUUUUAGGGAUUAUGGUAACCUGUCAAAUAGGCAAAAAAAGUAUAACAAACGUCAUUGUCAAACACGAGUUAAAAUAGAAAAUUGUUUUCAAUUAUUGAAACAAGGUUUUAGAAAACUUAUGCGUCUAGAUUUUUUAACUGUUAACAAAAUGUGUAAAUUUAUAAUGGCAUGUUUUGUUCUACAUAACACAUGCAUCGAUCAAAACGACUUAUUUUUAACAACCAACGAAGAAAACAAUUAAGACGUAGAUAAUUCUCAAGACAAUGUAAGAAUAAAUAAUUAUCAAGAAUGUAAUACAAGAGACAAUCUUUUAAAAAGGCUAGGAGAGAUGAGAAGAAACACUAUUGUAAACACUUUUACAUAAAUGACGAAAAUAAAAAGCUAAAUAGUUGAAUAAGAGAAA